GGGUAGUAGAACAAUGGGAUUAUGCUGUCACAAAAAACAAAGAAAAAACAUAAUUUCUUAAAUCAUGGUCUGUCACUGAAUCUGGUUAUAAAACCUUAUCUUGCACUAGAAGGAUCUGUAGCUUUUCCAGCUGAGAAUGGGGUUCAGGAUACCGAAUCAACACUAGAAAAGAGAGAAACUGGGGAUGAAGAAAACUCAGCUAAAUUUCCUAUAGGAAGGAGAGAUUUUGACAUAUUCUCAGACCACUUCUACCAAAACAUAAAUCUGUGAUUGUGAUCUCUGAAAGUCAGUCCUUUUAUCUACUCAAUUAUGACUCAAGGCUUUGAGAAUGUAAAGAGACGCCCUUCACAUGUUGAGAAAUGGUACGAUUUCACGUUAUCAGUGCAGUUCGGUUCUCAGGGGGAAAGCCCAUCCGUACUACCAGGAGACUGGAUCCGCAAAGUAGACACUUGGUCUCAUGAAGCCACUGCUGGGCUCCAGAGAGAAGGAAAAACUAAGCGGUUUUAAAACCCCCACCCUCCUUGGUUUACCUCCAUCAUUAAAAAACAACAAUGACAACGACAACAAAAAACAAAA